rnacentral:lncRNA from 1 species
AAGGAAAAGUAAUUGUUGCUUCCUGUUAUUUUAGUUGUUAAAGGUGGCAUUCUGUUCUUGUGGCUGUCUUCUUUUAGGUUUGUUGAGGGAUUACCUUCUUGUUUUUUCUAGGGCGUUGUUCCCGUUCUUGUAUUGGUUUUUUUCUGUUAUUAUCCUUUGAAGGGCUGGAUUCGUGGAGAGAUAAUGCGUGAAUUUGGUUUUGUCG